UGCAGUAGAACGCUGAAGACUUUAGCUUGCUAAAGUUGGAAGAGUUGCGAACGGGUGAGUAACGCGUAGGUAACCUGCCUACUAGCGGGGGAUAACUAUUGGAAACGAUAGCUAAUACCGCAUAACAGCAUUUAACACAUGUUAGAUGCUUGAAAGGAGCAAUUGCUUCACUAGUAGAUGGACCUGCGUUGUAUUAGCUAGUUGGUGAGGUAACGGCUCACCAAGGCGACGAUACAUAGCCGACCUGAGAGGGUGAUCGGCCACACUGGGACUGAGACACGGCCCAGACUCCUACGGGAGGCAGCAGUAGGGAAUCUUCGGCAAUGGGGGCAACCCUGACCGAGCAACGCCGCGUGAGUGAAGAAGGUUUUCGGAUCGUAAAGCUCUGUUGUAAGAGAAGAACGUGUGUGAGAGUGGAAAGUUCACACAGUGACGGUAACUUACCAGAAAGGGACGGCUAACUACGUGCCAGCAGCCGCGGUAAUACGUAGGUCCCGAGCGUUGUCCGGAUUUAUUGGGCGUAAAGCGAGCGCAGGCGGUUUAAUAAGUCUGAAGUUAAAGGCAGUGGCUUAACCAUUGUUCGCUUUGGAAACUGUUAGACUUGAGUGCAGAAGGGGAGAGUGGAAUUCCAUGUGUAGCGGUGAAAUGCGUAGAUAUAUGGAGGAACACCGGUGGCGAAAGCGGCUCUCUGGUCUGUAACUGACGCUGAGGCUCGAAAGCGUGGGGAGCAAACAGGAUUAGAUACCCUGGUAGUCCACGCCGUAAACGAUGAGUGCUAGGUGUUAGGCCCUUUCCGGGGCUUAGUGCCGCAGCUAACGCAUUAAGCACUCCGCCUGGGGAGUACGACCGCAAGGUUGAAACUCAAAGGAAUUGACGGGGGCCCGCACAAGCGGUGGAGCAUGUGGUUUAAUUCGAAGCAACGCGAAGAACCUUACCAGGUCUUGACAUCCCGAUGCUAUUCCUAGAGAUAGGAAGUUUCUUCGGAAACAUCGGUGACAGGUGGUGCAUGGGUUGUCGUCAGCUCGUGUCGUGAAGAUGUUGGGGUUAAGUCCCGCAACGAGCGCAACCCCCUAUUGUUAGUUGCCAUCAUUAAGUUGGGCACUCUAGCGAGACUGCCGGUAAUAAACCGGAGGAAGGUGGGGAUGACGUCAAAUCAUCAUGCCCCUUAUGACCUGGGCUACACACGUGCUACAAUGGUUGGUACAACGAGUCGCGAGUCGGUGACGGCAAGCAAAUCUCUUAAAGCCAAUCUCAGUUCGGAUUGUAGGCUGCAACUCGCCUACAUGAAGUCGGAAUCGCUAGUAAUCGCGGAUCAGCACGCCGCGGUGAAUACGUUCCCGGGCCUUGUACACACCGCCCGUCACACCACGAGAGUUUGUAACACCCGAAGUCGGUGAGGUNACCNUUUGGAGCCAGCCGNCU
rnacentral:rRNA from 1 species